GAUCAAAUGACGAUAACUGCGCCUAAUUUGAGGGUUGGGUCCUUCACAAUUGUCUGCUCUGCGGAUGACAUCUGGCGCUUCUGAUGUC
rnacentral:snoRNA from 1 species